GACGAACGCUGGCGGCGUGCUUAACACAUGCAAGUCGAACGAAGUGGCGAACGGGUGAGUAAUACGUGGGUAACCUGCCCUCCUUUUUGGGAUAAGCCUUGGAAACGGGGUCUAAUACCGAAUAAAGGGGGAUGGGCUCGCGGCCUAUCAGCUUGUUGGUGGGGUGAUGGCCUACCAAGGCGGUGACGGGUAGCCGGCCUGAGAGGGUGGGCGACCACAUUGGGACGGAGUUACGGCCCAGACGCCUACGGGAGGCAGCAGUGGGGGGUAUUGCACAAUGGGCGAAAGCCUGAUGCAGCGACGCCGCGUGGGGGAUGAAGGCUGUCGUGUUGUAAGUCUCUUUCGCUAUCGAACGGGUGGGUGGAGAAGAAGCGCCGGCUAACUACGUGCCAGCAGCCGCGGCGGUAAUUC
rnacentral:rRNA from 1 species